GAAGGGGGGCGGGGUGAGAAGGGCUUUAAAAGUCCAUUGUUCAGUUUCUUGCCUUCACCGAGAGAGCUCCGACACACUGCCACGAUCCUUUGCCAUUUGAUUCAAGAAUGGCUUGCUCUUAGAAUUAGAUCUCAGGGGAACAGAGCUUGGAGACCUUCAAGUCUUCCGUUUUGCACUCACCCUACGGAAUUGAGGGAGAGACAAGAUUUCCAGGGGUGUUUACCUGCAACUCCGACCCCAGAGAGGAGCUCCAAAUCGGGGCAGAGCGGCCAAGAGGGCCCCAGACUCAGGGUCUCAAUAUGUCGAUGAAGCUGGUCUUAAACUCACUGUGUGGCCCAGGCUGGUCUUGAACUUCAAGGGAUCCUGCUACCUCAAUCUCCUGAGUGCUGGAAUUACAGGGAUCAAACUCAGGACCUGUGCUUUCCGGGCAAGUGGCGGAACCACUAAGCUAAAUCCCCAGCCCCUAUCAUUAAACUUUUAAAUCACUGGAUCUUUCAGUUAAGCCAAUGUGGCCUAAUUGUCAUAACAUAUCAAUAAGUUGAAAUAAGCUAAUUCUAAUUUGGGGGGUGGGGUAGGGUCCAUGUAGUGUAGGCUGGCCUUGAACUCAGUAUAUAGCCCUGGCUGGCCUCGAACUCACAGCAAUCCUCCUGCUUCAGCUUCUUGAGUCCUAGGAUUACAGGCAUGUGCCAUCAUGCCCAGCUAAAAUAAACUAAUUUCAUAAGUAGGUGAGCUGAGGCAACCAGAGGUUGAGCCCCAUAAGAGACGGGGCAUAGUCAAUCUCUGAAGACCCUCUCCUCAGUACUUUGGUGCAUUCUGGAGCAUAGGGUGGCCCCUGGUCAUGAACGGCACACCUUGAAAUCAUUAGUAUGCAGGGCCUUUUCCUGCUUACUUAAUACAGGUGAGAGAUGUUCCUACACACAAGGCAGAUAUAGGCUUGGACUAAGGACAGCAACCCCUGACUUUUGGGGAAAAGUCACAAGGGAAUGAACUAUUCUACAGUAACCACCCACUCGGGGCUUGGUUUCAGAGGCGCUUCCAGUCUCCUUCCAGAGAGCUUCUUAGCUCUCCUUCUUUAGCUUCCAGAUAAACAGUUCUGUGGGUGUUUAUUUUAUGUCUGUCAGGGAGGGGCCUCCAUUGCUGGUUGCAGGUGCCUGGACAACAGGUGGGGACGUUAGUUAGCAACCUCACUCCUGUGUGAGCAAUGCUUCUCUCCUGUCGCCAGGACAGGGUCUGGGAGGGCGUUCUGCACAUUUUGUGAGCACAAGGCUGGGAGUCUGUGUGCAAAAGACAGGUGUGGAGUUCUGUGUAUAGAAGGAGGCUGUCACGUUCUCAAUUCGCCCAGCAGCCUCUGCAGCCUCACUCCUGCCCGUGCAGAACAAGCACACUGGUGUUCUCUGGAUGCUUCUUAGAAAUGUAGAUCCUCAGCCCCUAGCC
rnacentral:lncRNA from 1 species